UAGUUUUAUUUUUAGUCUGAAGAGCAACUCUUAUCCUUCCGACCCCAUCUAGGUUAACUCUGCACACCUUCAGAUUUCUGGCUAAAGAUGGCUGCAGUAGAAAGAUUUCUCCAGAGUUCCUUUCUCCCAUCAUCCAGCAGAGCACUGAAUGAACAAGGGGAAGAAGCCAAGACAAUGUUGUCAUUUGGGGGGAGAUCGUGAAGUAGAAUAGAAGUUCCCUGAAGGGAGAAGCCCCUGAAGGUCAUGUUUAUUCCCUGAUGACAGGAGUGCCAACCCCACCAGUUAACCAGAGAAGCAACAGAACACCUUGUACUAUGGCCACAAUGGUUGAACUUGUGGGAGAGCAAUAGCUGACCAGAGGAAGUCCUGUACCAGGUCCUGUCCUGGCCCUGUCCUCCACUCAUCUGGGAUGUUGUUCUACUUAAAGAGCAUAGGCUGAGUAGUAGAUUGAGCGUAAUUUUUAAGAGCCCUAGGAUCUUCAGAAUGGUUAAUGAACACUGGCUUCAACUUAAAGUCAC